AAAAUCCGUCGACUUUUAAAAUCGUGAGGGUUCAAGUCCCUCUAUCCUGGUUCAAGUCCCUCUAUCCCCA
rnacentral:tRNA from 1 species